rnacentral:RNase_P_RNA from 1 species
UGUGCGGGUCACGCAACCGCCUGCGUUAAGCGGGAGGAAAGUCCGGGCUGCAGAGAGCAAGGCGCCUCGUAACGCGAGGGCAGGGAAACCUGUGGAAAGUGCCACAGAAACAAGACCGCCCGGUUAGCCGGGUAAGGGUGAAACGGUGGUGUAAGAUACCAUCCACUCCGGUGGUAACAUCAGUUUGGGUAAACCCCGCCUGCAGCAAGGCCAAGUAUAGGAGGAGGAGUUGCUCGCUCCUGAUUUACUCCAGGGUAGGCUGCAAGAGGUUGGCAGCAAUGUCAAUCCCAGAUAGAUGGUUGCAUCCGUGAAUUCGGAAACAGAACCCGGCUUAUGGCCCGCUAUUAAU